UCCAGAGUAUUACUAGAGGCAAAGAAAUA
rnacentral:piRNA from 1 species